AGAUUGAACGCUGGCGGCAUGCCUUACACAUGCAAGUCGAACGGUAGAGUAGCAAUACUUGAGAGUGGCGAACGGGUGAGUAAUAUAUCGGAACGUGCCCAGUCGUGGGGGAUAACGUAGAGGAAUUUACGCUAAUACCGCAUACGAUCUAAGGAUGAAAGCGGGGGACCGUAAGGCCUCGCGCGAUUGGAGCGGCUGAUAUCAGAUUAGGUUGUUGGUGAGGUAAAAGCUCACCAAGCCGACGAUCUGUAGCUGGUUUGAGAGAACGACCAGCCACACUGGGACUGAGACACGGCCCAGACUCCGUACGGGAGGCAGCAGGUGGGAAUUUGGACAAGUGGGACGAAAGCCUAGAUCCAGACAAGUAGCCCGCGUGCAAGGAACGAAAGGCCUUCGGUUGUAACUGUCGUUUUGUACGGAACGAACGGUC
rnacentral:rRNA from 1 species